rnacentral:rRNA from 1 species
GACGAACGCUGGCGGCGUGCUUAACACAUGCAAGUCGAACGGAAAGGCCCUGCUUUUGUGGGGUGCUCGAGUGGCGAACGGGUGAGUAACACGUGAGUAACCUGCCCUUGACUUUGGGAUAACUUCAGGAAACUGGGGCUACUACCGGAUAGGAUCUCCUGCUGCAUGGUGGGGGUUGGAAAGUUUCGGCGGUUGGGGAUGGACUCGCGGCUUAUCAGCUUGUUGGUGGGGUAGUGGCUUACCAAGGCUUGGACGGGUAGCCGGCCUGAGAGGGUGACCGGGUACAGUGGGACAGGGAAACGGCCCAGACGGAUAAGGGAGGCAGCGGUGGGGAAUAGUGCACAAUGGGCCGAAGCGGGAUGGAGCAACGCCGGGUGGGGGAGGACGGCUUUCGGGUUGGAAAAGGAGUAGGCUUGUAACGAAGCGUGAGGGAGGGUAAUGGGGAAAGAAGAACGGGCUAAUUACGU